ACCUAAUUUUAGAGGUGCCAAGUGUGCCGACUAAUUUUUUUUUAAUUUGGAGAUAGUCUUACUUUGUAGAACAGCCUGGCCUUGAGCUCAGCCACCUACCUCUGUCUACUGAGUGCAAGGAUUAAAGGCAUUCAACCUGCUAUUUUUAUAACAAAACUGUAGCACAUGUUGUAAAAUAUACGUAAGAUUCUUUGUAUUGCCAUUGUACUUCAUGUUUACAAAGCUAAAACGAAAUUUUUAUAUAAAAGUUGUGCAGCAUAGUGUGAUUGGGUGAAAGGAUAACAAGAUGGUAGAGCUGGAAUGGAGCCUGGCUGUGAUCCAGAACUUCAGAGGCCGAUUAUUCCUGCACAGGGAAAGAAAAAUUGCUGGAUGCUAUUUAACAAUUUGUAGGUUGAUUUGUUUUUUUUUUUUUUUUGAAAGACCUCCAUCUCUUCAGUGCAGGCAUUGAAAUAAGGCCUGCUCAUGGGAGGGAAGUACCCUUAUCAUUAUGCUGUCUGCUAGCCUGGAACCUGUUCAAUCGGCCUGGCCUUGAACAAAGAUGCCUACCAAGUGCAUGGAUUAAUGGUGUGCCUGACUAGCACUCUUAUUUUCUUAUUUAUUUUUGUGUGGCCAAGACAGAGUCUGGUGUUGGCUGUUUUGAAUUAUUUCCUACGUACUUUUUGUGAUUUUUUUUUUUUUUUUUAAGAUUUGUUAUUUAUUAUAUGUAAGUACGCUGUAGCUGUCUUCAGAAACUCUAGAAGAGGGAGUCAGAUCUCGUUACAGAUGGUUGUGAGCCACCUUGUGGUUGCUGGGAUUUGAACUCCAGACCUUCCCAAGAGCAGUCCAGUGCUCUUACCUGCUGAGCCAUCUCACCAGCCCCUUUUUGCGAUCUUUGAGAUGCAGGUUCUCACUGAAUUUAGAGCUCAUUGAUUUGACAAGGUUCCAUACCCCUCAGGAUUCAGGGACCCUCCUAUCUACCUGUGUCUCCCUAGCAUAGGUGUACAGAUGUACAGUGCUGCACUUGACUUUAUCCAUGGGGUUUGGAGGAUUAAACUCAGGUCUCCAAGUUUGUAUUGACUAUAUAUGGUACUCUGAACUUUUUGGUUUUUUGAAAAGGGUCUUGUUGGUAGAUCUGGUAACCUGGUAGUCCAGGCUAGCCUUAAACCCUAAACUUCCCGAGAAGUAUGAGUUACAGUCUUUGACUAUACAGGUGUUUGUGUAGUUGGUAUUUUCUAUAGUGAAAGCUAAAAAGUGUUUUAAAACUAGGGUCUUGUAUACCUCAGACAGGCAUCAAAUACAAGGUCUCUAACACCAGCUUGCUGAGAUUACAUGUCUGUGCAGUCAGGCUUGGAAGACUAUUGGGUUUCUUUUAAAUUGGUCUGAAGAGGUAGUUUGUUGCGGAGUGAAUUGUAUUGAAUUAUCUGUAUUUUAUGUGUAUCCAGUUUCCUGAAGGAUUAUUUGAAAUUAGAUUUUGUGGAAACAACCCAUUUUCCUUUGUUUGACUUAGAUGAGAGUUGUCUAGGUUAAGAUUCCUUUUCCUUACUGUGGGGCUUUGACUUUCAGGGUACAGCUUACUACGUGCAUCCAUCAUAUCAUCAAACAUGACUAUCCAAGCCGCUGGACUGCCAUUGUGGACAAGAUUGGCUUUUAUCUUCAGUCUGAUAACAGUGCUUGUUGGCUGGGAAUCCUUCUUUGCCUUUAUCAGCUUGUGAAAAAUUAUGAGUAAGUGUCCUUCCUAAUUCCAGUUAAAUUUUUGAGUUGUGGGAAUAUAAAUUGCUUUUGGUAUAACUAAAUGACGUCAGUUUAAUAUUGAAGUAGGUUUUUUUUUGUUUUGUUUUGUUUUGUUUUUUUUCCUUUUCUUUUUGAGAUAGGGUUUCUCUGUGUAGCCCUGGCUGUCCUGGAACUCACUCUGUAGACCAGGCUGGCCUCAAACUCAGAUAUCUGCCUGUCUCUGCCUCCCAAGUGCUGGGUUUAAAGGUGUGCACCACCACUGCCUGGUGGAGUAGGAUUUUUAUUCUGAAUAUUUCUUACUAAUCACACUAAUUUUGUGUGUGCAUAUAUGUGUUCAAGUGGUCCAUUGUACAUACAGAGGCUAGAAGACAAGCUAGGAACAUCUCCCUAUACCUGUACCAUGCAGGUGUCUAAAGUUCAGACUUCUGGCAAGGACAUCCACCUGUUGAGCCCUCACACAGGCUCAGCAUACUUAUUCUAAUCCUGACAUUUUUUUUUCUCUCAACACCACUAAGAAACUCUGCCCACACUGUCCUUAGUGUUUUGUUAAGAUGAUUGUCUCUUAUUCAAAGAUUGCCUGUAAAAUUAGGUACUGGUAACAGCUUUUAGAUUUGUGAGUAUGCGUGCGCUUGUUUGAAGAUGAUUGGAGUAUAUUGAGCACUUUUUCUGUGAGUUCCUUCCUGAUUCAUGCUUCUGUAAGUUCCUGCUUCUACCCUGCCAACAGCUAAGAUUAUAAAUGUGUGCCAUCAUGUAUAGCUUUUGAUGUAUUCUGAGAAAUUCAUGUUAACCUACUUAAUCUUCUGUCUUUGAAUGAAUUGUAUGUAGUUCAUAUAAAUUCUAUUUAAAUGAAAGAUUUUAGAGUUAUCCUAGCUCUGGGUUUGAUUCCCAGCAGCCUCAUGGUGGCUCACAACCAUCUAUAGCUCCAGUCUGAGGAAAUCAAAAGUCCUCUUCUUUUUUUGGCAGCAGCAGGUAUGCAGGUAGUGUGCAGAACAUACAACAUGCAGGUAAAACACUGAUACACAUAAGUUAAAAGGAAAAUGGUUUGUGUUUUUUUUAAAGAGUAGUAGGCCAGAUGGUGAAGGAUCUUUGAUUCAAACAUGUGCUCAAAAUUUGUAGGCAUAAGAAGGUAUGGGGUGGAAAAGUUAUAAGGAAGAAUUACAGUAUCGAUGACCUGACCUCUAUUCCUAAGAACUAGAUAGAUGCCACCACAAGUCCUCUAGUUCUGGAACUACACUUUUUUGGAAUCCCUUUUCAAAGAACUGUUGUUCUGAGUAGGCAUGAAAACACACACCAUUUACACCCUUGGUACUGGUGUUUUCUUGUGUCCCCACCAGCUACCCAUCUUCCUGCUAAGGAAUGGUCCAGCUGUCGAUCCAACUUCUAACAGAGUGCCAGUUGUAGUUCUGUUAUGGUAAGUGAGUGACUAAAGCCAGAGAGAAUAACAAGUUGGCAAUGUCAUUAAGAAGAUUUGAAUCUCUUAUAUAACCUUAGCAGGAAAGAACAUGAGGAAUUUUUUAAGGUGUUAUACAGGAGGCUACUACAGUAUAGGAAUUGCAGAGUAUUGUCUCUUAGUGUUUAUAGAGCACGAGGUAUUUACAAUGAAUCUAUGGGAAUUCUAAGAAAAUUCAUGAGGAAAUUGGACUUUGAUGGCCUUUACUUAGGGUCAUAUAUGUUUAUAGGUGAUCAAAGGGAACAUUUGAUGAGGGGGUCGUAUCACAUCUUACUGAAUAAUAAAGAACAAAGGAGAAAAGAGCUGGAAAGCCAUGAUCGUGAGCUAGUACAGGAAUACCUAAUGGGACGUGGAGUCCCUGGAUAGAUUUUAGGGGUACAGCCAGCCUCAUGAAAUGUUAGGAGUUCAGGUAAUCCCUGGUGAGAUGUUAAGGUCAUAGUUUUGGUUUCAGAUAUUGGGACAGAGGUGGCCUUGAAUUUCCCAGAUAAUUGAGGAUGGCUUUGACUUUUGGGUCCCCUUACCUCUAAACGCUCAUGUUCUGGAUACACACUUAGUUUUUGUUUUUUUUUUUUUGUUUUUAGAUUUAUUUAUUUAUUAUAUGUAAGUACACUGUAGUUGUCUUCAGAAACUCCAGAAGAGGGCAUCAGAUCUUGUUACAGAUGGUUGUGAGCCACCAUGUGGUUGCUGGGAUUUGAACUCUGGACCUUCGGAAGAGCAGUCGGGUGCUCUUACCCACUGAGCCAUCUCACCAGCCCCACACUUAGUUUUUUUCUGUGCUGUUGAGCAUCAAAGUUGGGCCUUUAUGUUGGACAAACACUUUAUCAGCUGGGUUGAUUGUUUUGAUUUGCAAGGUAGGAAUGGUCGAUAAUGAAAAACCACUAGCUUUUUCAUAAGAAAAAUUAAUUCAGAUGUGGUCCCAGUACUUGGAGACAGAGGCAAGCAGACUGAACUUGGUACAGCUUGGUACAGCUUGGACUACACAGAAAAAAAAUGGUCUCC
rnacentral:lncRNA from 1 species